UGAAGAUGUAUCAAUUUUAACUUCCUCGUCUCAAAGUGGAGCCAGACUGAAAAGGUUUAGAGCAGAUCUGCCGAUGCUGGGGGUGACUUUGCAUAAAUAAUAAUGUACUUCAAACAUCUGGUGUUUUCCAUCCUGUUCGCUUCUGCUGAUGCAUUCAUCACUUGUGAACUAGCCACAGAUGUAGAGAUCGGCAAGGAUGUCACCUUCAAUUGUACGUUUGAGUGCAAUGAUCCAUGUGUACCGUGGGUGAUGUGGGAGAAGGAUCAAGUUGCCGGAAUCUUGCACGAGUACAAGGAAGAUAAAAGCGAUGUCAGCAAACAACAUGCCAACUACUCGGGAAGAAUUGAAGUCGACACAUUCUCAUUUAAAGAAGGAAAAGCAUUCCUUACAUUGAAGAAUGUCGAAAUCUGGGAUGAGGGAAAGUACAUUGUCAGUAUUAGCACUGACAAUGGAUAUGGAGCUGGAUUUGUCCAGCUAUCUGUUUGGGCUGCUACUCCUAUCAAAUUAUUCUGGAAUUCCGAAAUGCACAUACUCUCUUGCCAGUCGUCAGGGUGGUAUCCUGCCCCAAAGGUGGAGUGGAAGGACACAUCGGGGAACAAUUUAAACAACGACAGUGAAAUAAUCAUGAGAGAACCCAAUGGCCAUUUCAACGUGACCCACAAUCUGAAAGUAUUGGACAAACAGAAUCAGUACAUCUGCUCAAAGUGGCAUAAGUGGAUGAAAAAACAGACUCGAGUGGGCUUCUCGGAAGGAACUCGCUUAAUCCGGGUGGAUGAUGGAAAAAACCCUUCAGAUUUAUAAAUCAAAAGAUGCAUUGCUGCAAACAACAAGGAAACUCGUGAUAUUUUGUAUUUUCAUCGCCGGCUUUUGCGCACCUGUCUGCCAAUAUUUGUAAUCCAAAAGAUGCUUUGUGAGAUGUUGUUCCUGCUGUUGGUGUCUAUUGUGGAUCAUCGUUCUGUAAGAUGUUUAAGGGCCUGACCGCCAAAUUUAGUAAAGAAAUGAGUGGUACGGUGGCACAGCGGUAGAGUUGCUGCCUUACAACGCCAGAGACCCGGGCCCGAUCCUGAUUAUAGGUGCUGGCUAUACGGAGUUUGUACGUUCUCCCCGUGCCCUGUGGGUUUCCUCUGGGAACUCCAAUUUCCUCCCACACUCCAAAGACGUACGGGUUUGUAGACUAAUUGGCUUUGGUAGAAUUGUAAAUUGUCCCUCGUGUAUUGGAUAGUGUUAGUGUACGGGGAUUACUAGUCAGCGCCGAAUUGGUGGGUUGAAGGGCGUGUUUCGGUGCUGUAUCACUAAACUCAACUAAAUGUUAUUGUUUAAAGUUCAGCCACACUCUCUCACUGCUCUCCCUCAGUGAGUUCCUCCUGCCAUCGAUAACAUAGCCACGUGUGUUUCCUCAGCACCUGCCUUCACUGCUCAGUUGUUCCACAUGGCUUCCAGUUCCAAUUUGAGGCAUCUAGGUUUCUGGGCCAUCCUGGGUCCAAGAUACCUGGACCCUACUCACCACUACUUGCUACACACCCCAUCCAUGCUCAGAAUGCUACACUCUACGCCAUGCGCUGGGACCAGUCGUCUCUCGCUCGCCCUCACCUGCAGCUCCGUGACUCACUCGGACAUGGACCUUAAAUGAGAUCCACGUCAUCCUCUGCCUGAACCUCCUCCUCACAGUGAUGCAGUGGCAGAGUAGCUGCUUACAUUCACAGAGACCCGAGUUUUAUCCUGACUGUGUGGAGUUUGUACAUUCUCCCUGUGACCAUGUGUUAUUCCUUUGUUAUCCAAAUUCCCACUACAUCCCACAGACAUGCAGGUUUGUAGGUUAAUCGGCCCAUAUAGGAUGCAAAAGUGAGAUAAUGUUGAACUAAUGUACAGGUGAUCGAUGGUCGUCAUGGACUCGGUGGGCCGAAGGGCCUGUUCUAUGCUGUCUCUUUGAAACUUAAAAAUAUAACUCCCGGUUUUUAUGUAGGCAAGUUUGGUCUCAAAUCUAUCACGGACAUUCUCUCGAUGCCGAUCAUCAAUCACCCGUUCACACUAGUUCACUUUCUUAUCCACUCCCUACACACUUGGAGCAUCUUUACACCCAAUUAACCUACAAACCCACACAUCUUUGGAAUGUGGUAGGAAACCGGAGCACC